UGGGGAAUAUUGCGCAAUGGGGGAGACCCUGACGCAGCAACGCCGCGUGAAGGAUGAAGGCCUUCGGGUUGUAAACUUUUUUGAUCGGGGACGAAUAAAUGACGGUACCCGAAAAACAAGUCACGGCUAACUACGUGCCAGCAGCCGCGGUAAUACGAAGGGGGCAAGCGUUGUUCGGAAUUACUGGGCGUAAAGCGCACGCAGGCGGCGUGACGCGUCAGAAGUGAAAUCCCCGGGCUCAACCUGGGAACUGCUUUUGAAACGGUCAUGCUUGAAUCAUGGAGAGGGUAGCGGAAUUCCGAGUGUAGAGGUGAAAUUCGUAGAUAUUCGGAAGAACACCGGUGGCGAAGGCGGCUACCUGGCCAUGUAUUGACGCUCAGGUGCGAAAGCGUGGGGGGCAAACA
rnacentral:rRNA from 1 species